rnacentral:rRNA from 1 species
GACGGAGGAUGCAAGCGUUAUCCGGAAUUAUUGGGCGUAAAGCGUACGUAGGCGGCCUAUCAAGUCCGGGGUCAAAUCCCGCGGCUCAACUGCGGAGGGGCCUCGGAAACUGGCAGGCUGGAGGGUGGUAGGGGUAGAGGGAAUUCCCGGUGUAGCGGUGAAAUGCGUAGAUAUCGGGAAGAACACCGGCGGCGAAAGCGCUCUACUGGGCCGCACCUGACGCUGAGGUACGAAAGCUAGGGGAGCGAAUGGG